UCGAAUGAGGCAAGACUACCCGCUGAACUUAAGCAUAUCAAUAAGCGGAGGAAAAGAAACCAACAGGGAUUGCCUCAGUAACGGCGAGUGAAGCGGCAAAAGCUCAAAUUUGAAAUCUGGCUCUUUCAGGGUCCGAGUUGUAAUUUGUAGAAGAUGCUUUGGGUGUGGCUCUGGUUUAAGUUCUUUGGAAUAUUACAUCAUAGAGGGUGAGAAUCCCGUAUGUGACCAGUUGCCGCGCCCGUGUAAAGCUCUUUCAACGAGUCGAGUUGUUUGGGAAUGCAGCUCAAAAUGGGAGGUAUAUUUCUUCUAAAGCUAAAUAUUGGCCAGAGACCGAUAGCGCACAAGUAGAGUGAUCGAAAGAUGAAAAGCACUUUGGAAAGAGAGUUAAAAAGCACGUGAAAUUGUUAAAAGGGAAGGGAUUGCAACCAGACUUGC
rnacentral:rRNA from 1 species